UUUGAAACGAAAAACAGAAUCAAAGAUAAUCCAAACAAAGCUUGAAAUCGACCAUUCGGGACAAAGAUACAUUAGUAGAGUCCUCUCAGCAAAAUUUCUCAUUGUCAUUACUUCUCUUCUUCUUUCCUGCAUGUUUUGAUUAUCCUCCUUUGUCCUUCUCUUUAGGUGAGUUGUGCAUUUUUUUAUCUGCUGAAAUGUAAUCACCAUUCUGUAUACAUAAACAUUACAAUUCCUGCAAUCCAGCA